GUGGCCUUGGUCGCUGGCUUGGCUCUCUGAACCUUCUCACUGCACCUUUUAGUGCCUCUGCGGAGUCCAGACUCCAUACCCAGGGUGUCUCUUCAUACCCUGGGGAAGUCUGUUCAGCUCAUUCCCUCAGGACUGGUGGUGAUUUCAAAGAUGCUAAAAGGAAGAAGCCACAGGAAUGGAUCUCUAGUAACAGGCCUGAGUGGGAGUCAAAGUAUCUGUGGAUGUGGUGGGAAGGCUUCCCCUGGACUGCGGACACCCAGCCCUGGUUGUUUCUGUGCCCUAACCUGCUAAGCAUGUGUGCAGGUGGUGGUGGUGACAGUGGGGAAAGAUCAGGGCAUCAUGAAUGCAGCCAUUUCAGGGAGGAUGUGACAAGGUGGAGGGAGACGGCAGCAGUGUGCCUCGAAUCCUGUGACUUUUUAGGAUUACCAAGAACUCUACCUAAGAAUAGCCCCUUCUCUGAUUUCCCCUCCUCUGUCCUUCCCUCCAAACAGCUGGAUGAGGCAGGGGGGCGCCAAAGAGGGAGUCAGAGGGGAAAUCCACCCCCUUUGUAAUCCUCACAAGCUGGCUUCUACUUAUGUCACUCUAUUCAACCCUGUCCCUCAGACUCCAAUGGCCAGUGACCUCCCAGUCACCAAGCCAAAAGCCUGCCUCAGACCUCAGUGUCAUCAGCCUCACAGCCCUGGACACCUCAGAGGACCACCCCUUUCUGAAGCUCUUCCCUCCCUCAGCCUGCCACGGGCUGUCUUUUCUCUGUUCACUAGCCACUUGGACUCCUCUCUUUCCAGGUUCUUCUUGGAAAGGUUCCCUAAGAUUUCUGCCGUUCUCUUCUCUCCUGUCUUCACGCUGUCUCGGAGCAGCCCACCAUCUCAACCAUUACCCCCCUGCAUGUGACAGACCUCACUGGGAUCUGUCUCAGUUACUGCAGUAGCUUUCCAAAUGCCCUCUCCGCCUCCUGACACGCGCCCCCCCAGGAUGUCCACCAUUUGCUCAGCUUACCUGACCCUACCAGAAACCACAGCCCUGCCCUGCCCAUAUCACGUGAGCACUAGCAAACUCCUCAGCAUGGUUUUCAAGACUCCUGCACCAUCCCUGCCCAGGCCCCCUGCCCAGCCCCACCCCUGCAACUCCACUUCAAGAACGCUGGCAAGCCUGCAGCCCUGGCCAUCCAACAGGCAUGCCAUGCCCAUCCUUAUUCCUGCUGUUCCCACUGCCUGGCAAGCCCUUCUGCAGAAUGCCCGCAGGUCCAGACCACAGCCAUCAACCCUGCUCUGUGGACUCUCCUCCCUCUCCCAAGGUGAGUGGCAGUCUCCACUGCCGCUGGUCCUCCGCCAUUGACUUGCCCUUGUCCUUUGGCACUGCUUGUCCAGACUGUGCUUGUUUAUGCUUGUGUCACAGUCCUGUUGGAUGCAAGUGCCUCGGAUGUAGAAUUAGUCCAUCUUUGCCUCCCCCAUGGUACCCAGGACAGCACAUUGCACAGACCACAGCUAGUGAGAAUUAGUCUAGAUUCUCGCCUGUCUUCAACACCUCAAGUCGGACAUUUUCCACUCCCCAGCCAGGCACCGUGGAUUCUGAG
ensembl:lncRNA